rnacentral:rRNA from 1 species
UACGUAGGGCGCAAGCGUUUGUCCGGAAUUAUUGGGCGUAAAAGAGCUCGUAGGUGGUUUGUCGCGUCUGCCGUGAAAGCCCGGGGCUUAACUCCGGGUCUGCGGUGGAUACGGGGCAGACUAGAGGCAGGUAGGGGAGAACGGAAUUCCCGGUGUAGCGGUGAAAUGCGCAGAUAUCGGGAGGAACACCGGUGGCGAAGGCGGGUCUCUGGGCCGAUACUGGACGCUGAGGAGCGAAAGCGUGGGGAGCGAACAGG